rnacentral:rRNA from 1 species
UACGGAGGGAGCUAGCGUUGUUCGGAAUUACUGGGCGUAAAGCGCACGUAGGCGGCUUUGUAAGUUAGAGGUGAAAGCCCGGAGUUCAACUCCGGAACUGCCUUUGAAACUGCUUGCUUGAGGCCGGGAGAGGGUAGCGGAAUUCCCAGUGUAGCGGUGAAAUGCGUAGAUAUUGGGAGGAACAUCGGUGGCGAAGGCGGCUACCUGGACGGGUACUGACGCUGAUGCGCGAAAGCUAGGGGAGCAAACAGG